UUACUGGUGAAAGUCCAGUCUGAGUAAGUGCCAAGACGCUCAGUAGCUGACAGGCGACUGGUGGAGAAAUCCUAAGGUUGAAGCCCUGUGACAAAGUAACUCCUUUCGGAGUGCGAGCAACUUAACAGGUUGUAACAUGA
rnacentral:ncRNA from 1 species